ACACCUGGUCUGGGGUUCUGCACACAGCAGGUGCCCAAUGUGUGUCUGAAGGUGUGCAGCAGGUGUGAGAUGACUUACUCUGGCUCAGAAUGGGGCUGCCUCCCUCUGUCUGUAAUGUCUACAAGGAUAAAUUCUGGAUCCUCUUCUCCGAAGCUCCCAAAAGACUACAUCCUGUUAGGCCUGCACGCGGGUCACCACGCUGGGCGGUCUCUCCCACUCGAAUGUGUUGGGGAACCAGCGCCGCUGAUGGGCAUAUUGAUAUGAACAACCUGACUUGGCCAAAGCUUCCGGCCCAGCACGCUUGCCAGUUAGCUGGUUAUUCUGAGAACAUUCUUUUCAGAACACUCAACAGGACAAACAGGCGGAGAGGUUCCUUUGUCCACAGCCAGCCUCUGAAACCAAGCCGAUGCUCAAAGGGUUGAGAAGAACUAACUCCAAGGAAGGACUCGCCGGCACAGGAGGCGGAAACGUUUGAGAAUGGGGGAGGGGAGCAUGGUCCGUGACAGCACCAUGGAUCACUUGUCCUUUUACCAAAGCAGAGCUUUUAAUUCCUAAAAUAUAACAGCCUGUGCAGGAGCUUGAAGAAAGGGCUGCAUUUCCUGCAGAACUUUGCUGCCAGAUGCCCUGCCGCCGAAUGAAAGGUUUGGAUCCGGGUAGGUCUGGCUGCUUUUCGGCCUCUGCUUCCCUUUUCAUCUGCUGCCUCCCUGGGCACCAGGCAGCCUGCUGGGGUCGGGGCUGUGGCUGCCCUUGGUCCUCUUGGAGCUGUGCUUGCCAUGGGGUGGGAGAGCUUGCUUUAUACUGCAGAAAGUCUUUCUGAAUCCUGGAAACCAACUGCGUAUUUGCACCCUGCCUCCUCCGUCGGUGAUCCCCACUCACUUUGUUACUGAAGAGCUGUGCAUCUUCGCUCUUUUCUCUCCGAGGCCUUUUAUGAAAAGGAAAGGGAGGCUCACUGGCAUCCGAUCGGCCCAGCUUUCCUGUCUGCUUUUGCCCUUUGCAGCUGUGUGGUCUUGGACUAGUGGCUGCACCUCUCUGGGCCCUGGCAAAAUGGGAAACUAAGCAUCUGCCUCAUGGGACUUUUAAAGAAGAUUAAAGAUGCCCAGACAAGGUGUUGACACGCUGCGAAUGGCCAAGGUUUCCCUAGCGCUUCAUAAGCACCAGGCUCCAUUCUAAGAGCCUUACCGUCGAGUAUUUGCUUUUCACCAAAACUCUGAGAUGGUGCUAUCAUGGGUCUCAUUUUACCGAAGGGGUAAUGAAGGCCCGAAGAAGGCGAAUCGCUCUGCCAGGGUUGUGCACUGGGGGAGCCCGAUGUUGAACCUCAGCAGGCAGGCUCCAGAGCCCACACCCAUAAUUUUGACUUAAAUCUGUAUGGACCACAUGGUAGCCUGAUUCUCUUGCUUGGUAAUAUGCCCCUUGCGAUGGAGGGUCUGCUCCUCCCUAUCCUCAUCGGUGAUCACGGAUGUCGCCAGUCACCCUCCCUGUCACACAGACCCUCACCCACUAGUGCAUCCGAUCCCGAAAUACUGCAUUUUCCUCAGUGGGGUCCUCUCCGUUGGUGCCUUUUGUCCCCAUUGGAACCUAGGGAUGUGGAUUCUCUGAGAGACAAAGACAUUUUUUUUUUAAUCUUGUUAUUGAUCUAUUUUUUGGCCUCACGUGCAGCCUGUGGCAGUUCCCGCACCAGGGAUUGAGCCCGAGACACAUCAGUGACCCAAGCCUCCACAGUGACAACACCGGAUCCUUAACCCGCGGCACCACCAGGGAACUCCCAACAAAGACAUUAUUAAAAUCAUUGCUGUCUGUUGCCAAAACGCUUUGGGAAAAUCUCGAGGCCAGAGGGCUGGGCCGCGGGCAGCCAGAAGUGUGGGGAGCAGCUCUGGGGGGAGUGGCUUCACGCUCCGUGGCCACCACGUGGCAGAGCAGCACCUCCCCUCGCAGGGCUGUUGUCAGACUUGGAGGUGAUGCUGUGUGAGGGGUGUGGCCCCUGCCUACCCAGGCCCGGGGCAGUGACAUCCACAGGUGUCACCCCUCGAGGCACAUAACACGAACUAAGAACUAAUAUUUAUCUUGUGGGUGAACGAGGCAGCCAGGACUUUGGGGGCCCCUGGAAGUGGUCUGAAGACUCACUGGGGUCUUCUUGGGGGUGUCUGCCUGGAAGUCCCUGCUCCCUGGCAUGAUAGCCGUGCCACCUCAGGACCUUCUCCAUCCAGCUUCUCUAAUCCCGCCCUGGCCCGAGGCAGCGCCAGGCAAGGUGAAUUCUCACAUCUGGCUCCUGGCUCAGCUGGAUCUGAUAACAGACCAAUUCCAGAUAAACAGAGGAUGGAAGAUG
rnacentral:lncRNA from 1 species